rnacentral:rRNA from 1 species
AAAUGAAUUGACGGGGGCCCGCACAAGCGGAGGAACAUGUGGUUUAAUUCGAUGAUACGCGAGGAACCUUACCCGGGCUUGAAAUAUAUCUGACCGACUCAGAGAUGGGUUUUCUAGCAAUAGCAGAUAUGUAGGUGCUGCAUGGUUGUCGUCAGCUCGUGCCGUGAGGUGUCGGCUUAAGUGCCAUAACGAGCGCAACCCUUGUCGAUAGUUACUAACAGAUUAAGCUGAGGACUCUAUCGAGACUGCCGUCGUAAGGCGAGAGGAAGGUGGGGAUGACGUCAAAUCAGCACGGCCCUUACGUCCGGGGCGACACACGUGUUACAAUGGGGGGUACAGAGGGAUGCUACCAGGCGACUGGAUGCGGAUCUCGAAAACCUCUCUCAGUUCGGAUUGGAGUCUGCAACUCGACUCCAUGAAGCUGGAUUCGCUAGUAAUCGCGCAUCAGCCAUGGCGCGGUGAAUACGUUCCCGGGCCUUGUACACACCGCCCGU